AAAAAAAAGAGUGAUUAAACACGAGGACUUUCCUGGAGGUCACCCAUCCUAGUACUACUCUCGCCCAAGCACGCUUAACUGCGAAGUUCUGAUGGGAUCUGGUGCAUUAGUGCUGGUAUGAUCGCAUCUGUUACUACAUGCAAUGAAAUCGUAUCUAUUCUUUUUUGAAGAUUUUAUGAUUCAUUUACCGUGGGUCCCACCAGCUAUGUAGGAAUAACCUAUCUCGUUUAUAAGAGCUUUGAUACAUGCAAAAUAUUCGAAAACAAUGUCCGAACAUAUAAUGUUUGCCCCAAAAUAUAGAAAAGACCACGAAAAUGCCAUAAAAAGUACAUUAAGGUCAAAAUUUGGAGUAGGAAAAAAAAUCAAUAGGAGAAUUCCAUUUUCCUUCCUCAUUCAUCGGAGAGCUCUCUUUGGGCAUUCCAUAAAGGUAUCACAUGCCAAGUUUGGCCUCACGGUCUAAAAGUUAUAGAGUAAUACAUUUUUAACAAAAAAAAAAGAGAAAAACCGAAAAAAAGAGGGAUGCAACACGAAGACUUUUCUGGAGGUCACCCAUCCUAGUACUACUCUCCCACAAGCACGCUUAACUGUGGUGUUCUGAUAGGAUCAAGUGCAUUAGUGCUGGUAUGAUCGCAUCAGUUACUACAUGUAAUGCAAUCAUAUAUAUUCUUUUUUGAAGACUUUAUGAUCCAUUUGCCGUAGGUCCCACCAGUUAUGUAGGAAUACCCUAUCUCGUUUAUAAGAGCUUUGAUACAUGCAAAAUAUUCGAAAACAAUGUCCGAACAUAUAAUGUUUGCCCCAAAAUAUAGCAAAGACCACGAAAAUGCCAUAAAAAGUACAUUAAGGUCAAAAUUUGGAGUAGGAAAAAAAAUCAAUAGGAGAAUUCCAUUUUCCUUCCUCAUUCAUGGGAGAGCUCUCUUUGGGCAUUCCAAAAAGGUAUCACAUGCCAAGUUUGGCCUCACGGCCUAAAAGUUAUAGAGUAAUACAUUUUUAACAAAAAAAAAAGAGAAAAACCGAAAAAAAGAGGGAUGCAACACGAAGACUUUUCUGGAGGUCACCCAUCCUAGUACUACUCUCCCCCAAGCACGCUUAACUGUGGUGUUCUGAUAGGAUCAAGUGCAUUAGUGCUGGUAUGAUCGCAUCAGUUACUACAUGCAAUGCAAUCAUAUAUAUUCUUUUUUGAAGACUUUAUGAUCCAUUUGCCGUAGGUCCCACCAGCUAUGUAGGAAUACCCUAUCUUGUUUAUAAGAGCUUUGAUACAUGCAAAAUAUUCGAAAACAAUGUCCGAACAUAUAAUUUUUGUCCCGUAAUAUAGCAAAGAUCACGAAAAGGCCAGGAAAAAUACAUUUCGGUCAAAAUUUGGAGUAGAAAAAAAACCCUUCCUCAUUCAUUGGACAGCUCUCUUUGGGCUUUCCGAAAAGGUAUCACAUGCCAAGUUUGGCCUCACGGUCUAAACCUUAUAGACUCAUACAUUUUUCACAAAAAAAAGAAGAGAAAAACCAAAAAAAAGAGUGAUUAAACACGAGGACUUUCCUGGAGGUCACCCAUCCUAGUACUACUCUCGCCCAAGCACGCUUAACUGCGAAGUUCUGAUGGGAUCUGGUGCAUUAGUGCUGGUAUGAUCGCAUCUGUUACUACAUGCAAUGCAAUCGUAUCUAUUCUUUUUUGAAGAUUUUAUGAUUCAUUUACCGUGGGUCCCACCAGCUAUGUAGGACUAACCUAU
rnacentral:sRNA from 1 species